UUGGAGGGCAAGUCUGGUGCCAGCAGCCGCGGUAAUUCCAGCUCCAAUAGCGUAUAUUAAAGUUGUUGCAGUUAAAAAGCUCGUAGUUGAAUUUCGGGACCAGUAUGUUGGUCGUGCUUCGGUACGUACUGUCAUUACUGGUUUCUCCCUUCUGAAGAACCUUGAUGUCAUUAAUUUGGUGUCUUGGGGAAUCAGGACUGUUACUUUGAAAAAAUUAGAGUGUUUAAAGCAGGCAUACGCUUGAAUACAUUAGCAUGGAAUAAUGAAAUAGGACGUUUGAUUCUAUUUUGUUGGUUUCUAGGAUCGACGUAAUGAUUAAUAGGGAUAGUUGGGGGCAUUAGUAUUCAAUUGUCAGAGGUGAAAUUCUUGGAUUUAUUGAAGACUAACUACUGCGAAAGCAUUUGCCAAGGAUGUUUUCAUUAAUCAAGAACGAAAGUUAGGGGAUCGAAGACGAUCAGAUACCGUCGUAGUCUUAACCAUAAACUAUGCCGACUAGGGAUCGGAUGAUGUUAUUUUUAAUGACUCAUUCGGCGCCUUACGGGAAACCAAAGUGUUUGGGUUC
rnacentral:rRNA from 1 species